rnacentral:rRNA from 1 species
UACGUAGGGUGCAAGCGUUAAUCGGAAUUACUGGGCGUAAAGGGCGCGUAGGCGGCCAGCGCAAGUCAGUUGUGAAAUCUCCGGGCUUAACUCGGAACGGUCAAGUGAUACUGCUGCGCUAGAGUGCGGAAGGGGCAACUGGAAUUCUCGGUGUAGCGGUGAAAUGCGUAGAUAUCGAGAGGAACACCUGCGGCGAAGGCGGGUUGCUGGGCCGACACUGACGCUGGAGGCGCGAAAGCUAGGGGAGCGAACGGG